GAUGAACGCUGGCGGCGUGCCUAAUACAUGCAAGUCGAGCGAACGGACGAGAAGCUUGCUUCUCUGAUGUUAGCGGCGGACGGGUGAGUAACACGUGGAUAACCUACCUAUAAGACUGGGAUAACUUCGGGAAACCGGAGCUAAUACCGGAUAAUAUUUUGAACCGCAUGGUUCAAAAGUGAAAGACGGUCUUGCCGUCACUUAUAGAUGGAUCCGCGCUGCAUUAGCUAGUUGGUAAGGUAACGGCUUACCAAGGCAACGAUGCAUAGCCGACCUGAGAGGGUGAUCGGCCACGCUGGAACUGAGACACGGUCCAGACUCCUACGGGAGGCAGCAGUAGGGAAUCUUCCGCAAUGGGCGAAAGCCUGACGGAGCAACGCCGCGUGAGUGAUGAAGGUCUUCGGAUCGUAAAACUCUGUUAUUAGGGAAGAACAUAUGUGUAAGUAACUGUGCACAUCUUGACGGUACCUAAUCAGAAAGCCACGGCUAACUACGUG
rnacentral:rRNA from 1 species